AUACCUGUUCGGAGAAGGGUGUUCUCAAGAACCGCCAGAACUCGACCAGUAAUGCCAUUUUGAAUAAAAGUUCGUUUUGGUUUGAUCGCCUCACAAGACAGACGUGACUUCAAUUUGUCUAGUUACUAUACUAUAAGACGCCACAACUUGUCAACAGGAUGAAAAUGAAAACGACCCUGGUGUUGCUUCUUGUCGUUUUGGUCAUCUGUUCUGAGAUGAAUACUGCGGACUGCAGGCGCCGUGGAGGAAGCCGUAGAGGCAAGUUAGCCCGUGGGGCCCGUAGACCUAAGUUAUCCCCCGAGGCUCAGAGGAUGAGGGAGCUGUACCAACAGCGCAAGGCUGCUGAAGAAGAGAGGAAGCGCCAGGCUGAGCUUGCACGCCAGCAGCAGGAGGCAGAAUAUGCUGAAGAGUACGAAUACGAGUAAAAGGGCAGUCGGAGUGACCACGUGACUUGCAGUCAAGCUCUGUCAAUAUCCUAUUUGCAGAGACUUGCUUUUGUAGCUUUUGUAGCUGUUGCCAUUUUAUGCAAAAGCCAAUCUUUUUUUUAAAUAGUUCAAAAAGCUUUUAAAAAGGAGAAAACGACCAAUGAAUUCAAUGAAAGAAUAUUUCACAAAUUCAUCAGAAACAUGUAGUUAUCGCUGCAAAACGACCAAUGAAUUCAGUCAUUCGUUUUUAGAAAUCAAUACAGUCGGUGUAUGUCAUAAACUAUAAGAGAUACAUGUAUAACAUCUGGUUGAAUCCUUAUUGUUUAUAAAAGAAUGUGGCGUAGCUGAACGGAUGUGUGCAUGUUUUACGUUACAGACGUAUAGUAUCUUGUGAUGAAAACUGCAAAUAAAACCUUGAAUCUAA